rnacentral:rRNA from 1 species
UGGUGGAGUGAUUUGUCUGGUUAAUUCCGUUAACGAACGAGACCUUGACCUGCUAAAUAGUUACACAUAACUCCGGUUAUGUGGGCAACUUCUUAGAGGGACUUUGCGUGUCUAACGCAAGGAAGUUUGAGGCAAUAACA